UACGUAGGGCGCAAGCGUUGUCCGGAAUUAUUGGGCGUAAAGAGCUCGUAGGCGGUCUGUCGCGUCGGCUGUGAAAACUCGGGGCUCAACCCCGAGCCUGCAGUCGAUACGGGCAGACUAGAGUGCUGUAGGGGAGACUGGAAUUCCUGGUGUAGCGGUGAAAUGCGCAGAUAUCAGGAGGAACACCGGUGGCGAAGGCGGGUCUCUGGGCAGUAACUGACGCUGAGGAGCGAAAGCGUGGGGAGCGAACAGG
rnacentral:rRNA from 1 species